rnacentral:rRNA from 1 species
UACCAGCACCCCGAGUGGUCGGGACGAUUAUUGGGCCUAAAGCAUCCGUAGCCGGUUCUACAAGUCUUCCGUUAAAUCCACCUGCUUAACAGAUGGGCUGCGGAGGAUACUAUAGAGCUAGGAGGCGGGAGAGGCAAGCGGUACUUAGUGGGUAGGGGUAAAAUCCGUUGAUCCAUUGAAGACCACCAGUGGCGAAGGCGGCUUGCCAGAACGCACUCGACGGUGAGGGAUGAAAGCUGGGGGAGCAAACCGGAUUAGAAACCCCAGUAGUCC